CUGAGUCCCUUUGAUUCUUUUCUACUGUUGCCUACUCUCCUCUCUGACUUGACCGUCGGAGGGUCCCCGCCGGAGGCAUCUCCAGUCAGUGCGGACUUCUCUUGCAGGUGCUCGUUCCCGACGACCAGGCGACGAGGGGAUUGGCCGCAAUAAUUCCUAAUAAGACCAAGCCAAACCUCGUUAUACUUGAACCAUCCACAUGACCGUAUCCUUGUGCUUCACUCAUUAUAAAUAGCAUCUAAGGUUAUUCCAAGUCCAUAGGCAAAUUGAAAGUUGGCUGCACACCAGAUGAAGUGCUUGCAGUAGUAAUAUGAAAUUGGUGAAUUAGGAUGGUGCAUGAGUUAGUCC
rnacentral:lncRNA from 1 species